AGGUCUGCAUGAGAGAUGUCUUUUUAAAUUCUUUUAGUGUGAUGCGUGUAUUAAAAUUCAUGGAGCAAAAUGUAAUUGCAAGUGACAAAAAAAUAUAUCUCCUAAAGAGAAACUAGACAAAACACCAGAAAAGUAAUAGGAGACGAGGAGACAAUCGGAGGAUAGCUAUAAAGGUUGCCAGCAGUCUGCCAACAACACUAAAUGAGGCAUCCGUCAAUGCAGUAUGGUAUUUAGCUAUGUGUCCAAUGUAAGAAACAAGUUUUAUUCUUCUAGGGUAACUGUAACGAAAUAGCAUCCAGAGUUUCAAAAAAUAAAAUAGUUAUCUCUCUUUCGCCUUGAAUUUACGGCUCUUACUCAUGUGAGAUUAUGCUAAGUCAUUGUAUUUUGUUACUGAAGAAAAAUACGUAAAACAUAAUUAUUAGGAAAAUAGAUAAAAUCAACGCUUUUCAAAUACGAACAGUAAGAGAAGAAUAAAACAAUGUUUAGAGAAAUUACUUGUGAGAGAUGAUUAUACAUGCUAACUCAUACAUUCUUUUACUUUAUUUUUGGAUCUGUGCAACUUUCCGAAUUCGGUGCCUCUCACGCAAUAUUACGUAUGCUAAAGCAAAAUAUGAGUGUGUCUUCAAAUAAAAUUUUAGUUGAAAAAUAAAGAAUGAAAUAUCUUUGCUUGAGAUAUACACCUUUUUUAUUUCGUGACUAACAUAACUUAAUUGAAAAUAUAACAAUAAAAUAUGUUAUGGCCAGCAAUACAAAUGUAGCUGACAAUAUCAUAUAUUUAAAUUAAGAAAUUAAGCAAAAUAUGCAUGCUUUGUAAAAUUUGACAUUUUUAUACCGCAAAAUCAACUCUUGUUAACAAGAAAUUUGUGUUUCAAAAACGAAGCCUGAAAUGAAUAUAUGGAUAUGCUUAAGAUAUGACUUGUUUCUCGGAGUUAAAGCGAAAUUAACGACAGAAUAUGAAAGGCAAAUAUAUGAAGUGCGCCUAUUUGUCAUUCAUUUCGUAUGAAGUCCGAAGUAUAUUUUUCAAUUCUUAUAUUUUUUCUUAUAUUAACCUUUAAUUUCCUUUCCGUUUAUUAACAAGGUUGUUAUAAUUAAUUACAAACACAAUAUCGUUUGUAAUAUUAAAAUCAUUAGAAACGUUUAAACAAGCGACGGCGUUUAACACAGCUGUAUAUUUUUGUUUAAAGUUAGCACUUUUCAAACAUAUUAUGAUGAAUGUGCAUUGCCGUUUUGAAGACAAAUGCUUUUUAUAAUCUUAUUAACAUGUACAUGAUCACUUAGAAAAGUUUCAAACAUAUGUCAAUAAAUGUGAUGGUUCAUAUCAAUCAACGGGAUAUUGUGGUCACCUGUUUUAUGUGGUAGCUCUUGAGGUAAAGAAGGCGUAAUGAGUGGUAGUUUCAGGAACAAGUUGCAUCCUUGAUAACAUGUUUAGAUAAGAGCAAAGGCUGAUCUUCACCCAAUGUACAAUUAUUAAAAAGGUCAAAUGCACACUUUUUACUCAAAUCACGUUUAAGCUUAGCCAUAAAUAAUUGUGACGUUGCAUUUUAACGGCGAUUAAUUUAGUUUCGGGACGUCCAUUCAAGUAAAAAGAAUUUUUUAAAAUUUAAUAUAACAGGCCGGUUGAAACCUAUUCGAUGAUGUACUUUCAAAUAUGUCUCCGACUACUCGCCGAAGGAAUGCUUUCUUAUGCGAAAAUCAUGCCAUAAUCUUUCUACGAAAUUAUUGUUUUCGAGCGGAAUGACUAAGUAGUGUGUAAAAACUGUCCCAUGUAUAAAAAAAACUAAUAUUAUCAUAUAUAUUAAUAUUACUGUAAAAUGAGCG